UGCCAAGUCAAAAUAUCUCAUUUUUGUAUAGAAACUAUAUAGACGCAUUUAUAUAGACAUAAAAAACUACUGACAAAAGCACAACAAAAUGACUAAAACCUUUCAAAUCAAAACAGAAAACAUUAAAACUAAUAAAACAGUAAAUGCAAUACAUUUUUGAGAAAACAAGUCAUGUGUGUCCGAAGCACUUGACUGAUAUUGCAUGCAUAUAAAACAAUAAAUCCUGAUGCACUUACUGAUAAAUCUUUUAUCUUGGAGUAAAUCACAGUCAAUCGCUUUAGACAUAAGCAUUCUACCACAUGAAUAAAUGGAAAUAAAAUACAUUCACUAUAUCACACAUGAACAGAUCUCUUAAAUGUUGUGCACUUAACACAAUCGGGUUUCCAUAAUAAAGAACAGAGGAUGCAGGAAAAUACUUUGCCUUUUAUUUCCUGUUUUGUCAUUUUAUAAACAAAUGUGAAGAUACAUCCAUGACAACACAAACUCCUCUUUCCGAAGUAUUAACAUCUACACUCUCUCUGUGUACAAAACAAUAAGUUAUAGUCCCAUAGAUUCCUACUUACAUUUAACUAUACAACAAAGUCCAAACGGUGACCAAAUAAAUAUCUGCGGUAUAAAAAUGAUCACAGGGAGAGAGAAGAGAGAGGAAGGGGCCUUCUCGACUGCUUCAGUGCUUCCUCUGGAAACCUCCGGCCAAUCACAUGCAAAGCUGGAUGUGACAUCAUCCAUCAGUGGAAUAGUGACCCGAAUAAGUGUUAUUUGAUCCGAUUCACGGUACAUACAAACACAAAACAGUGCAUUUCCAACACGACUCACCUUGUCGAUUCCAGCUUUUUGUCUCUAGUAAGGAUGCCAGCCUAGUUAAGACAAAUAGUGCGCAUUAGUGUGUAUUUGCAUUGUGAACGCAGCCAAACAGGACCAGCACUAUGAAGUCGGCAAGAGAAAAGGAUAUUGGCAACGGCAAACAUAUCUGAUGCAUUGCUUUGAGUAGAAACCAUAAACAUACAUACAUACAUACAUAAAGAUCAUUUGUAAUCUGUCAUUUUUAAAUCAAAUAAAACCUUCACAUCAUGGAUAAAAUUGGCUUCAAAGAGGUCAUUAUUAUUAUUUUUUUUUGAUUGGCAUUCUGUAAUAUAAAAAGAUUACAUAUGGCUGAAUCUCAAAAAAAAAAAAAAAAUGCUCAGGUAAAAUUUAACCCCAAAAACUAAAGAGAAACAAAUGAUUAAUUCUAUUUUGAAACUAUUUUUGCAUCGCAACAUAAUUAAUGUAUUUUUUUAACACUAGUGAAAAUUUAAAUACAAAUCAUUGCAUUGCAGUAAAUAUUUUUAUUUUAUUUUUGCUAUUAAAAUUCAUAAAUAUUUAUGAAGAGUGAGCAUGUAACACAUUGAAUUAAAUGUGAAACACUGACGUAUGAAGAUGAUAAUACACCGUCAAUAAAUAAGAUUGGAGUACUAUAUAAGUCUUUAUUUAAAAUGUCACAUUUAUUUCAGUGUUUCAUUGUAAUUAAUUGUGAAAUCUUAUGAGUGGAAAUUGUUGCACAACCAAAUGUUUUUUUUCAGGUGCUUUUUUUAGUUUUAAUAAUUUCUUAUUUAUUUUUACGAUGAUUGUUUACAUCACGGUGUAAAGUAAGAUAAAAAUACAUAAAAUAAAAUCUACUGCAAUAAAAUGAUUUGUAUUUAAAUUAGCAUACAUUUAGGAGGGAAAAUCUGGUUUUUCUCAUGGUUUUGGGGUUUAAUUUGACCCAGGCAUGCUCUUUACAUGAGAUUUAUUUAGUUCACAUCUCUGUGGUCCCAAACAUCCAAGUGAAAUGCAUUAAGGGUCAUCUUACAACUUAAGAAAACAUUACAUUUGCAUGAUUAAAAUUUUUCUAAAGGGGUUAUCUGGUCUCACAGAGCCAAAACACCACCAUUUUUUAUACUUUAAAAUAACCAUUCAUGAUGUGCAUGGACAUGAUCCAACAAGUAAUGCAGAAGACAUUUAGUUCUGCGUAAACCUUUGAAGAAUAGUUCACCAAAAAAUAAAAAAAAGUUUUUCUCCAUGUAGUUUCAAACGUUUACUUUUUUCCUCUUCUACGGGUCAUAAAAGAUAAGCUGAAUGUCCAAGAAUAUGUUUCUCAUACAAGUGAAAGCAUUUGUGGAAGCACUAUAAAAACAGACUACACAACUUUUUAACAUAUUCCAAGUCUUCACACUUAUAAGGAACCGAGCAAAAGUGAAUUCACAUGAAAGCUUGAUGUUUGGCUAAAACUAACAUUUCAUCUGG
rnacentral:lncRNA from 1 species